rnacentral:lncRNA from 1 species
CUUGUGUCAGACAACUGACAUAUGCCCUCCAGGGUUAGCGUGUCUGUGACUGUCUAUCUGGCCACAGGUUCAGUCCAGACCAGACAGGCUUGUUGGAGGUGCUUUGAACUACAGUACUAUGACUCUGGCUUUCCAGGCAGAAGCCCCAUUUUCUCUUCCCACAGGAGAUAAUGCCAUAGACUGCUACCUUGUGGGUGAUGACUGCUACCUCAUCAGAAAAUCAAGACGUGGUGACAAGAGUCUGGUGGUAAACAGCACUAAAGGCAGUUUUCAGAUGGAAAGGUUCACUCCUGCUGGAGAGAAGAUCAAGUAUUCUAUGCCAGAGGCUGUAUGGAUGAUGAUGUGAUUGGAGCGGUGGGGGGAAGGGUGCAGAGUGACAGCCGCCAUUAGUAAAAGGGGGCACUCUGUCACUGGAUGAGAAACCCAUGCAGGUACCAUGGCUUUCCAAGGUUAAGUCACCCACCGGAGCCUGGUGAGUCUGCAGCAGACACAACAUAUGGGACAGAAGCAGAGGGAAAAUGGACAUGCUAGUGUUGGGUAGAGAGGAAGGGGGAAUUCUGGAAAGAUUUGCUACUUAGGGUCAUUGCCGACUCUCAGAAGUCUUUGACCAGUUGUCACUAUUGAUGUUUAGAUUUGGGUGCUCAGUAACUCAACUCUCUCAGGCCAUGGAAAGCAAUAGAUGGAUCAGAUAUUCGUUUCUAGCCUCUAUGGGCACUGCAUGCAUGUGGUUCACAGACACACAUCCAGGCAAGACUUUCACACACAUAAAACAAUCUAAAAAGCAAAACGUAUGGUAGAAACAAUAGGAAGCCAGUGGGGAGCCCGGUUCUUCCUGUCUGCUCCCAAUGAAAGUGGGAAGAGUAGAGUGUGAGCUGAAUGGACGGUCUGUCAGCGCCGUUAAGGCAAUUACUGGGGGGGCGGGGGGAACAAAACAUGAAAGAGAGAAGUUCCCACUGGCACCGAAAGGAAUAGCUGUCUGUCUGUAUAGAGUGAAGUGUUUCGUGAACUGACUGGAAGUACCACCUUUCUCAGGGCAUGCUCUUCCUUCAGCUAGCUGUGCCCAUAUGCACUGAGCUCCCCCAGGGAGCACCUUAACCUCCUGCACCCAGGAAGCUGUGAUGUCCCUGCAUCGUGCGCCCAACUCCAGACCUGCCUGAACUCUGAUGCCGUGCCCACUCACUGAGAGACAUGCCCACUUCUCGCUGGGACACCUCGGGGAGCACUCUGCAGCACUGCCCCUUACAGGCUGCACAUGGUCAGGGAAGAACAGGAUGAAAUAGUUUUGAAAUAGUUAAUGGAUUAAAAUGUGACUCUCGGGCUGCAGAGGUGAGUCGGUUGGUAAGAGU